UACGAAGGGGGCUAGCGUUGCUCGGAAUCACUGGGCGUAAAGCGACCGCAGGCGGCCUGACAAGUCGGAUGUGAAAGCCCUGGGCUCAACUCAGGAAUUGCAUUCGAAACUGGCAGGCUCGAGUACGGGAGAGGGGGGUGGAAUUCCUGGUGUAGGGGUGAAAUUCGUUGAUAUCAGGAGGAACACCGGCGGCGAAGGCGGCCCCCUGGCCCGCAACUGACGCUCAUGGUCGAAAGCGUGGGGAGCAAACAGG
rnacentral:rRNA from 1 species